rnacentral:rRNA from 1 species
AUUGAACGCUGGCGGCAGGCCUAACACAUGCAAGUCGAACGAGUGGCGGACGGGUGAGUAAUGUCUGGGAAACUGCCUGAUGGAGGGGGAUAACUACUGGAAACGGUAGCUAAUACCGCAUACCAUCAGAUGUGCCCAGAUGGGAAUAGCUAGUGGGUGGGGUAACGGCUCACCAAGGCGAAGAUCCCUAGCUGGUCUGAGAGGAUGACCAGCCACACUGGAAGUGAGACACGGUCACGACUCCUACGGGAGGCAGCAGUGGGGAAUAUUGCACAAGGGGAGCAAGGCUGAUGCAGCUAUGCCGGGUGUAUGAAGAAGGCCUUCGGGUUGUAAAGUACUUUCAGCGGGGGGUCGUUACCCGCAGAAGAAGCACCGGCUAACUCCGUGCCAGCAGCCGCGGUAAUAC